rnacentral:misc_RNA from 1 species
GACGAAGAACGUAGCGAAAUGCGAUAAGUAGUGUGAAUUGCAGAAUUCCGUGAGUCAUCGAAUCUUUGAACGCACAUUGCGCCCUUUGGCAUUCCGAAGGGCAUGCCUGUUCGAGCGUCAUUUAUCAACCCUCAAGCCCGGCUUGCGGUUGGGUCCCGCCGUGGGCGACCACGGCGGACCCGAAAGGUAAUGGCGGUGCCCGUGGGGCCCUGGACGCAGCGAGCUUCUCGGCACGCGUCCCGGCGGUCCCCGGCGCCGUCUCCACCAAUCCACCACGCAGAUUGAACUCGGAUCAGGUAGGGAUACCCGCUGAACUUAAGCAUAUCAAUAAGCGGAGGA